AUUUUGUCAGCCCUGGCAGACCUUUUAAAUGUGUUUAGCUACAAGGGAGUAAACAAAUACGGAUACCUUGAGUGAGCAUCUCAGUGGCUGGGGAGAAGCUUGCUAGACUAUGCUCCCAACGUUUCCAGGCCUGGCCCUCUCUCUGCGGAGUGAGGAGUGUCUGUUGGGUGGCUGCCCAGCGAGGGGCGGGGCUAAAGCAAAGUGGUACGUGUUGACGGUGCACCGUGGGUCACUAUGUCCUCUCCUGUUUCCUGCGAUGAAGACUGAAGAACCAGGAACUUGAGGGAGUUCAUGCUCCGACCCCCUUCCAGUCCUACAAGCCUGGAUGACUCCACAGUCCCAGUCAGGUGCUGAGGGCCCAGACAGUUCCUGGAGGAUAACUGGUCUUCACACUGAAAGGCAGAAGAAGCGGGGCCAUGACGACAGCGGAAGAUGGCAGCAGUGGUGGCAGCAGCUUUGGUGGUCACAGUCAUAGCAGCAGCAGCAGCUAGUGGCCAUGGUGGAUGUGGCAGCAGCGUCUGUGGUGGCAAUGGUGGCUGCAGGAACAGCAACAAUGGUGGAAACAGUGGUGGAAAGAGCAGCACAGUGUCUUCAUUCGAACGUUGAAACACCACGUACAGUAGCUUAAACAUGCCAAACAAUGCUAUAUAUUGCUUUUCGUUCCAUCCAUAAUAACGAAUGUACACUAUCUACAAAUAAGCAUAGCAAUGGAGUCGGUAUUUUUACUUUCUGGAUAUAAAAUAGAACAGUAAGACAUGCCGUGGAGGAUGGUUCUCAGACCCAGGGGACCACAGAAAGGUUUUUAACUUGACUGGGAAUGCCUCAAGGCAGCCUUGUGACCUGCGAGCCAGCUGGCUUGCAGCCUCCUUGAGCUCUUGCCUUUGCUGUCCUCAGAGCAGUGGACACGGCAUUGGCUUUCACUCGCUCCCCAGGCCUCCUCUCCUGCUAGUCUGGUCACCCCCCUCUGUGGCAGCUGCAGCACAUGUGUUGCUUGAGAUGCUUCAGACUACAACUAGGAGGGCGUCGUUAGCAUGUUUUCCCUUCUUUGCCAAAGUCCUCCUCGAGCGGCCUCUUGAGAUUCCUGAACGGUGACUCCGUGGUGGAACCGGCUGACUCCUGCAGCCGCUGUGGUUAUCAUACUCUGCACUCAGAGGCUGGCCGGAACCGGGAGGGCCCCUUAAGCAGCUUGAGUUUCCUCUGCCGGGAGAACGGCGAACGGCGAGAAGAAUGUAUCCCAGCUCCUGCGCCAGAAGCUGGCCCUUCUCAAGGGCAGUGUCUGAGAGUACUUGGAAACGCUGGCUUUGCUUUACUUACUGAAGCCUGCAUUUUAAAAACGCGUUUUGCUUUUGGAAUUGUACACUAUUUUACAUUGAUACUUACACAUUUCUAUUGAAAUGAUCAUGUUUUGUUUUUUAUGAUCAUGUUUCUUAACUAGUAAAUUCUAAAAUCAUUCUCUUCUGUGACUGUAUUAAAAUCUAUACACCUUCCAUCACCCCCCAAAAUGUUCUCUCUCCAGCUUUUAGUCAACUAAAAUGUCCUCCCCUAAAAUACACCAAGAAGCUGCGCUCUUGACUAGUCAUCAGAGCACAGGGUGACAGUCC